GGGGGAUUAGCUCAGAUGGAAGAGUGCUCGCUUAGCAUGCGAGAGGAAGUAGUGGAUCGAUGCCCGCAUCCUCCA